AAUUAGGUUGGUGGAAAAGUAAUAGCGGUUUUUGCCAUUGAAAAUAAUGGCAAAACCCGCAAUUACUUUUCCACCAACCUAAUA
rnacentral:pre_miRNA from 1 species